rnacentral:rRNA from 1 species
AUGGCGUCCGGAGGCAUUGCCCGCGGCCGCCUCGCCGAGGAGCGCAAGUCGUGGCGCAAGAACCACCCCCAUGGCUUCGUGGCCAAGCCGGAGACCCUGCCGGAUGGGUCCGUCAAUCUCAUGGUCUGGCGGUGCAUCAUCCCCGGCAAGCCAGGGACUGACUGGGAAGGUGGAUAUUACCCGCUCACUAUGCAAUUUGAUGAUAAUUACCCAACCACCGCUCCUAGCUGCAGGUUCCCAGCAGGUUUCUUCCAUAUCAAUGUCUACGAUUCUGGAGCAGUAUGCCUAUCGAUCCUGGGUGGUGCAUGGAAACCUUCAAUUACAGUGAAGCAGGUUUUGGUAGGCAUCCAGGAGUUGCUUGAUGACCCAAAUCCUAACUCAUCCGCACAGCAUCGAUGCUAUGAACUCUAUAAAAAGGACAUGCCAGAGUACAGGAACAAAGUCCGUGAGCAGGCCAAGCGCUACCCUUCACGCAUGUAG